GAUGAACGCUGGCGGCGUGCUUAACACAUGCCAGUCGAACGAUGAAGCCCAGCUUUCUGGGUGGUUUAGUGGCGAACGGGUGAGUAACACGUGAGUAACCUGCCCUUAACUCUGGGAUAAGCCUGGGAAACUGGGUCUAAUACCUGCUAGGAGCGUUCUCCGCAUGGUUGGUGUUGGAAUGAUUUAUCGGUUUUGGAUGGACUCUCGGCCUAUCCGCUUGUUGGUGAAGUAAUGGCUCACAAAGGCGAUGACGGGUAGCCGGCAUGUGAGGGUGACCGGCGAGACUGGGACGGAGAGAAGGCAGAGAGUGGAACGGGAGGCAGCAGUGGGGAAGAUUGCAGAAUGGGCGCAAGGCGGAUGAAGAGAGGCGGCGUGAGGGAAGACGGCGUUAGGGUUGUAAAACUAAUGGAGAAGGGAGGAAGCGAAAGUGACGGUAACUGAAGAAGAAGCACCGGCUAACUACGUG
rnacentral:rRNA from 1 species